rnacentral:rRNA from 1 species
GAUGAACGCUGGCGGCGUGCCUAAUACAUGCAAGUCGAGCGAACAGACGAGGCUCUUUCUCCUCUUACGUUACCGGCGGACGGGUGAGUAACACGUGGAUAACCUACCUCUCUGACUUGGAUCACUUCGAGAAACCGUAGCUAAUACCGGAUAAUAUCUUCAACCGCAUGGUUCAAUAGUGAAAUAUGGUUUUUCUGUCACUUAUAGAUCGAUCCGCGCCGCAUUAGCUAGUUGGUAAGGUAACGGCUUACCAGGUCGACGAUGCGUAGCCGACCUGAGAGGGGGAUAGGCCACACUGGAGCUGAAACACGGUCAAGACGCCUACGGGAGGCAGCAGUAGGGAAUCUUACGCAAUGGGGGAAAGCAUGACGGAGCAACGCCGAGUGAGUGAUGAAGGUCUUCGGAGCGUAAAAAUCUGUUAUGAGGGAAGAACAAAUGUGUAAGUAACUAUGCACGUCGUGACGGUACCUAAUCAGAAAGCAACGGCUAACUACGUG